rnacentral:lncRNA from 1 species
AGACACCCUCUUUUUAGGCCGGGUGUGGUGGCUCACGCCUGUAAUCCCAGCACUUUGAGAGGCCUAGGUGGGCAGAUCACCUGAGGUCGGGCAUUUGAGACCAGCCUGACCAACAUGGAGAAACCCCGACUCUACUACAAACACAAAAUUAGCUGGGUGUGGUGGCACAUGCCUGUAAUCCCAGCUAUUCAGGAGGUUGAAGCAGGAGAAUCACUUGACCCUGGGAGGCAGAGAUUGAGGUGAGCAGAGAUCGCACCAUUGCACUCCAGCCUGGGCAACAAGAGUGAAACUCCAUCUCAAAAAAGAAAAAAAAAAAGAUUUUAAACAGAAGACCUGCACCAAAAAUACUACCACCAAAACGUUUUGAUGAAGAAACACAUAAGAGGAGGAUGGAAGGAGAAAAUGGCAAAGAGAAAAUGGAAGGGAGAGAACUAAAAGGAAGGGAGGGAGAGAGAGAAAAAUACAGGAAAGUAUCUUGAAACAAUUUUACAUUCGUUUUGGUGUUAUGUGACACAAUUCCAGAAAUAAGGAUGUAACAAUCUGGAUUAGAAUGCUCUAACCUCUUUAAAGAAUGCCAGGCAUCUAGUUGGUGUGCAAUAAACAUUUAUCAAAUGAACAGCUAUGUAUUAUAGUAAACCUUCUAUUGACUAUAAACAAUUACAGGUGAAUCUGUACAAAUUCACCCACAGGAGGGAAAUUUUUGGCAUUAGAUCAGACCUCAUGCUACCCACCAGUAAUGCUCCGUUUCUCACUCCUCCCACCACCAUCUUCCACAAGCACCAUACCCAAAAUGGAAGAUUUUACCUUCUUCAGCGGAGAAAAAAGGAAGUCAUUUCAGAAAUCACAUUCAUUGGGGUAUAUAUGAUAAAAGUUACUCUGCUGGGCAUUUUCUGUGCCUUCUUUGAUUCAAAGGCCAUUGGAGCACAGUGAGAUAAAGGUUAUCAUUCUCAUUUUACAGAUGAAAAAUGGCUGUGAAAGGCCUACUUUCCUCACCUUAGGAGAGCCACACCGCUAACUUGUGGAGGAAAUUUAACUUCAGUCAAGGCCUCUGUAUUUCCAAAGUCUCCUCUCCUUGCACUCUGCCAUGAUAUCUCCACAUAACAUAAGUGUUCUCUUUUUAUAUCCCACAGUGGGUAAUGUCUACUUUGAUGAUUGUUUAUGCUUAAU